rnacentral:rRNA from 1 species
AGUGAACGCUGGCGGUAGGCCUAACACAUGCAAGUCGAACGGCAGCACAGUAAGAGCUUGCUCUUACGGGUGGCGAGUGGCGGACGGGUGAGGAAUACAUCGGAAUCUACUUUUUCGUGGGGGAUAACGUAGGGAAACUUACGCUAAUACCGCAUACGACCUACUGGUGAAAGCAUGGGAUCUUCGGACCUUGCGCGAUUGAAUGAGCCGAUGUCGGAUUAGCUAGUUGGCGGGGUAAAGGCCCACCAAGGCGACGAUCCGUAGCUGGUCUGAGAGGAUGAUCAGCCACACUGGAACUGAGACACGGUCCAGACUCCUACGGGAGGCAGCAGUGGGGAAUAUUGGACAAUGGGCGCAAGCCUGAUCCAGCCAUACCGCGUGGGUGAAGAAGGCCUUCGGGUUGUAAAGCCCUUUUGUUGGGAAAGAAAAGCAGCAGGUUAAUACCCCGCUGUUCUGACGGUACCCAAAGAAUAAGCACCGGCUAACUUCGUG